rnacentral:rRNA from 1 species
GACGAACGCUGGCGGCGUGCUUAACACAUGCAAGUCGAACGGAAAGGCCCUGCUUUUGUGGGGUGCUCGAGUGGCGAACGGGUGAGUAACACGUGAGUAACCUGCCCUUGACUUUGGGAUAACUUCAGGAAACUGGGGCUAAUACCGGAUAGGAGCUCCUGCUGCAUGGUGGGGGUUGGAAAGUUUCGGCGGUUGGGGAUGGACUCGCGGCUUAUCAGCUUGUUGGUGGGGUAGUGGCUUACCAAGGCUUUGACGGGUAGCCGGCCUGAGAGGGUGACCGGCCACAUUGGGACUGAGAUACGGCCCAGACUCCUACGGGAGGCAGCAGUGGGAAAUAUUGCACAAUGGGCGGAAGCCUGGUGCAGCAACGCCGCGUGCGGGAUGACGGCCUUCGGGUUGUAAACCGCUUUCGCCUGUGACGAAGCGUGGGUGACGGUAAUGGGUAAAGAAGCACCGGCUAACUACGU